UUUUAUCGCCGGGGGUGCUUUGCUUUUUGUAGCAAGGCUGAGAAAAACCCUUACAACCUGCUCUGGUUAAUACCUGCGGAGGGAGUGUGAUAGGUCUUAUUG
rnacentral:ncRNA from 2 species